CAAUCAGAUGAUCAAUUAAAACUUUUCGAAAUCAAUAGUAUUUAGUAUUUAGACUGUAUUAUAUAAUACAAGUCAUUUCAAUGCAGUUGUCGGAGUGAUUUAUAAUAGGUAAACUCUCGAAAUAAACAUUUUUUCUGUAUGUUUGAUGUGUAGUUUUAGUAAAUUAGGUAACACCGCAAUAAUAUGCUAAAAAUUUACGAUUACGAUAAUCAUACAUCAGUAUAAUUUAACAUAAACGUAUAUUUUUAGCAUAGCGUAAUAUAUAUAAAAAAUCGUGAUUAGAAGUAACACGGAUUGAUUGUAACAGAUGUGAGUAUUCAUUCCCGGUUUGCUCGAAAAACUUGAAACUAUUGUAGAUGAUACGGACUUUGGUCAGGCAUAAAGUAUUAUUCCUCAUCUCAGGAAAAAUAAAAAGAGAAAGAAAUUUGAGGGGAGAAUGAGACAUCGAGAAGAAGAGGAAGUAAACAAUAUACAUCGUACCACGUUUUCAAGAGACUUUUGUCUCUGUAACAUUAAAUAUCAGAAUAUAAACAAGGAGUACGGUGAUCGAAAGGGAAUAUUUUAUUACUCGCAGAUGUGGCAAGGAAUUUGAGUGAAAGACGGUAAUUAAUAAAAAUUCUGUCUUUCCCUGGGAAAAAGUGAAAUAAUCACAAGAGUUUUCGCUUUAUUUCAUCGUUUUCCGGACUCCAUCAGACUGGUGGAGUCUCGAGAACGACGUGACCCUUGUGGAGUGCCGGGAUUUUACCAGCCCUGGGAUAAAUCUUGCACUUGUCCCAGAACUGGAUGAAGGAGAGACGUCGGUUCCGAUUCGCACGGUCGCUUCUCUACAGUGAAGAAAAUUGCUUCGACUGUGAGAAAGGAAGAACAGAAUUUAAAAAGAACGGUUUUUAUCGUUCCAAAGUGAGUCCAAAGUGUGCUUACAUUUUCUACCUAGAUCAGAAUUUCAUUGCACCCUCUACUUCGACCAGUCAUUCUGAGUUGUUGGUCCGAAUCCCGGAGUGCGUCGGCUGACUCUGAUAGGUUCAAUGUUCCGACCAAGAUGAAUAAUAAAUAAUAGAGAGAUAGAGAGAGGGAGCCGUCAGGACCCCGAGUCGUUAGUUUGGAUCUUACUGUGAAAUUAUUGACUCGAAUUUGGUUUAUCGGACGAUAAAUACAGAACCGAACAGAAAAAGGUAUUUAUCGUCGGAUUCUCAUUAUUUGUGUAUGAAAUCUCUCCCGAAUAAAGAAAUUAUUGGUUAUUAAACCGCAAUCUUUGUAUCGCUAAAGUCACUAGGUCCCGUUCCUAAUGACAUUAGUGACACAGAGCUCUAGAUUGCCAUCGAAGGUCAAAACCCUAUAUAAGUAAAUCCAUCGAUCCUAUAUUAUACACGAAGAUGUAUAGUAAAGAUGGUCAUCUACCAUGUUUUUUUUUCCAGUUAAAUAACUCAAAUAUAACGCGACUAAUUCAAUAAAAGCGUUUACCAACGAC
rnacentral:lncRNA from 1 species